GAUGAACGCUGGCGGCGUGCCUAAUACAUGCAAGUCGAGCGAACGGACGAGAAGCUUGCUUCUCUGAUGUUAGCGGCGGACGGGUGAGUAACACGUGGAUAACCUACCUAUAAGACUGGGAUAACUUCGGGAAACCGGAGCUAAUACCGGAUAAUAUUUUGAACCGCAUGGUUCAAAAGUAAAAGACGGUCUUGCUGUCACUUAUAGAUGGAUCCGCGCUGCAUUAGCUAGUUGGUAAGGUAACGGCUUACCAAGGCAACGAUGCAUAGCCGACCUGAGAGGGUGAUCGGCCACACUGGAACUGAGACACGGUCCAGACUCCUACGGGAGGCAGCAGUAGGGAAUCUUCCGCAAUGGGCGAGAGCCUGACGGAGCAACGCCGCGUGAGUGAUGAAGAUCUUCGGAUCGUAAAGCUCUGUUAUUAGGGAAGAACAUAUGUGUAAGUAACUGUGCACAUCUUGACGGUACCUAAUCAGAAAGCCACGGCUAACUACGUG
rnacentral:rRNA from 1 species